UUACACUCAUUUACACAUAGACACAUACACAUACACAUAUACACACAUAGUUACACACUGAUACAUGCGCAUACACAAAUAGAAAUACAUGCACAUACACAAAUGGAUAUAUAUACACCUAUGAGCUUAUGUUGUUUGUUAUUUGUUUUAUAACACCAUCCUACUUUCUUUCUUCCUGUUACAACAUUUGGUAUUGGAAAAUCUACCCAAUUGUGCAAUAUCAUCGAAAUACAAAACAAUUAUGACUGCUACAAUUAGAAAAAAAAAAGAUCAAAUUAUAAUGCUUUAAUAGGAAAAAGAUUGAAAUUGUUAUGUUAUAAUAGAAAGAAAUGAAAAUAGGAUGAUACUACAAUACACAAAUCAACAAAAGUACAUUCCUAUUGUUUGCAUAUUAUAGCAUUAUACUUCCAUUUAUUUGCAAUUUGCCCCUAUUUAUUUUUUACUUCCAUUUUCCAAUGUGGGACGUCAUUUUUUCAAAUACUUUUUAAACAUCACACACACACACCGAUACACACAUGACAUCCAAGAAAUAGCAACCUUCGUUCACUUAUUUUUGAUUCAGAAACCAAAAUUAAACCAAUCUACUAAAAAAUAAUUUUAUUAAUAAACAAAUUUAUUAGUUUUUUAUUUUUACAAAAUGUAUUAAAUAAAAUUUUAUUUAAAAAAACUAAUAUUAAUUAUAUUAUUUUUGAGUUGGAUCAGGUGCUACAUGUACACACACCACACAACCACACUAAUGGUUACCAAAGAAAUGAAAUUACAACAGUACAAUGCUACAAAUGGGACCGGUUUUGUUAAAAAAAAUGCAGGAACUAUAUUAACUGGUUGAGCCUAUAGUGGAACCCGACCGAUCCUCAUCAGAUUGGUCCUAUUUGAACCGAAAUCAGAUAUUGGAAUGUGUUCAUGUAACAACCAAAUGUUUUACAGCAAUAUAAAUAUGCAGCAAACCCUAAAUGCAACUGGAAAAUACGAAGAUAAUGGGAAGCAUGGACCUAAAAUACUAGAUAAAGUGAUAAACAUAUGCAUUCUAAGAAUUAAUCAAACAAAUGACAAGUUACACGCUUUUGUUGGGCCAGAAGAUUGGGCUGCAUCAUGUGGUUCAGACCCGUGGCACUUCAGACAUAUCCGAUGUGUCUGAUUUUGUUCAGCCAGGAACAUCCAUGUCUUGGCCGCAUCCGCAUGCUGGUGCUGUUUGAUUGGUUAUGUCAAAUCUUCUCCCCCAGAAUGGUCUCCAGCAGCAAUAAGAUCUGCAAUGAUACUUGAACAUGUUUAACUCUUGCUAAUUUCUUAGUAGUGUGUGACCCAUGAAACUUUUGUGUUGUGUAAGUUGUGCAAGGUCAUUCCCCAUGAAACCAAGUGUUUUGUAUUUUGUAACUGCUAACAAGACAUUUUUUCUAACAAUUUCUGUACUUAAAUCAAAUGAAUAUUUGUAAGAAACUAGUACUCAAAUAUCUAGAUUCACAUGUUGGACUCUAAUGAAAAAAGUUCAUGUUUUCAAGGUUAUACAAAGAAAAUCGAAUGACCAUAUGCAUAAGCAUAAUCGAAAAUAAUGAGCAAAAAGGAGGAUAAUAUGGAAAUCCAAACCAACCUCCCUCCGUAGAAUACAUGUAGGUGUAAAAGUUAAGAUAUAAUAAUAUGGUGAUAUGUUUAAGUGAAGACAUGUGUAAUAUUCUAUAAAUAUUGGUUUGAUCUAAGCAAAACAAAACAAUAAUAUAAAGUUGCAAAUAAGUUGGAAGACUUUACCUUUCCGAGACCACCAAUUCCAACACGCACGAUAAUCCCCAUGGGAUCUCAUCUUGUCCAACCACACAUCGUAAAACACCAAAUAUCAUCUUCCCAGAUUAUACAGAACAAAGAAACAUCAAAACAUUAUGUUGGUUGUUUUGUUGAUGAGUAAUUAGCCUUUUCUGGGUUAUAAACAGAAGAAACAAAGAGACACACGAGCCCAAGAUACAGGCGUUGAGGUAGGCGAUAAGCAAUGGAAGGAUUAAUAAGGUAUUAAAGAAAAAAGAGAAUGAUGAAGGAGAAACACGACAUCAGAAUUUAUUGAUAACAAAAUUCCAAAAGAAGAAAAACAUAAGGAGUAGUACAAAGCAAUGUAUCCAAUUAUGGUUGCUCACCCUGCAUACGCUAGAGGAGACCUUCAAAUCUUUUAGAUAAACACAACAAAACAGAGGGACCACGCUACAAGAAUGAAGAAUCAUGUGAUCCUACGUUCCAAAAUUUCCCAAAAUCUCUAAUUGAAAUAACUUUUUUGUGAUUUCCCAAAUCUUUUAAAUUCAUC
rnacentral:lncRNA from 1 species